rnacentral:tRNA from 1 species
GCUGUAGUUCAGUGACAGAACACCUGCUUGGCAUGGAGAAGGUCCUGGGUUCAAUCCCUAGCAUCUCCA